rnacentral:tRNA from 1 species
GAGUACAUAGUUUAACCAAAACAUUAGAUUGUGAUUCUGAAAAUAGAAGUUAAAACCUUCUUGCACUCC